rnacentral:pre_miRNA from 14 species
AAUCCUGUCUUUUGGAACCUUAAAGUACUGUAGCAGCACAUCAUGGUUUACAUACUACAGUCAAGAUGCGAAUCAUUAUUUGCUGCUCUAGAAAUUUAAGGAAAUUCAUUCAAGACUAUA